GCCCAAUUUAGUCGCCUCUUAUGACAAGCAAUGGGCACUGAGAACCUAUUCGUCUGAAAUUCGAAAGAGGCCUCAGUCCAGAUAUCCAGCUUCGACAAAUCUCGCUGAGAUUAAAUCAUAUGAGCAUCUACGUUUGCAUGCAUAUCAUUGUAAUAGAGAAUGUCAGUUAGUUUCUGGAGAUUGUACGCCAUAGUAUUCUGUUUCUUAUUCUGACAUUGUGCUAACUGUCAAAUCAUCGGAGUUUUCCACAGCGUACACAUGUUGUGUGUUAGAAUUACAAUCCACUACUGUGUAUUUCAUGUUUGUCCAUGUGUGCUGCAGAAGUGCCAGAGUUUUGGAAAUGUACGAGGACACCGAAUCAUGACUUGUGCAUUUGUUUCCUUCUCUGGCAUUGAUCAAAACGAAGCGACGUUCAACCACCACUAAAUCAAACUCCGAGUCGGCGACUAGAGAAGAAAGUAAUAUUGGAAAGGUUCUCUGUUUGACUACGAUUGGAGGUGACACUAUGAAAAUCUUUGUUUGUAGGAAAACGAAAUUUCUAAUAACCAAUUCAUUUUCCGCCAAGUAUAAUUCGAUUGGUAAGGGAGAAAAGCUACCCUUCCAAGACUUGACGUUAAAGACAGUCAUUCAAAUGUUCGAAGAAACUGUGCAACAGCUGACGAUGGAAACGACUAUAUAGAAAUGAUUGUGCUAUGCCUAGGACAGAUAUGGGGGACGAAAGAAGCGUUGAAAAAUACACUUUUGAAUUUUGAAGUAUUUUUAAGCCGAAUUAAUUUUGUCUAGUUGUAGUAGAUGUUCUUCUCAACUGAUCUCUUACUUAUACAUUUUUAUUAGGCAUUGGUGAAUAUAUUCUAGCAAAUGGAAUAGACAUUUGUAUUUCUAGCUCUUUUAAAGUAUUAAUGAAACAUAAGAAAACAUUUGUAAGGACCAAUAUCAAAUUAAAAAUGCACAAUAACACUGGAUUUUCAUUGAACCAGUAUGUAGGUGAAAGGGGAAGAUAACGAACAGUGAUCAAUCGCAUAACUCUAUAAACAAUAUAAAAUAGAGAGUUCGGCAAACACGGAUCCCUGGAUAUACCAUAGGUGGGAUCAGAUGCCUAGGAGGAGUAAGCAUCCCAACUAUUUAAAUUGUAUUCUUUAUAGGAGUUAUGAGAUUGAUCACUGUUCUUUAUCUUCACCUUUCAUUAAGGAGAGACAUAUAUUUCUUCUGAUGUGUUUUCUUAAUAUCAAGUAAAAUGAAUUAACUGUAUACAGAUUAUAACUAACCUUUGGUGUGCUGAAUCGUAAUCCCGAAAAAUGCUCCCACCAACACGUACAGUUUCAUCUUUGUUCUAACGUCACAUUGACAAGAUCAUGUAAUAAAAGCUUUA